GUCACAAUGGGUAAAAACUACGUAUAUUUGGGUCGAAAGUUUCAAAACUCCCUUUUUAUGGUCAUAUUCCUGGAGCAUUUCAGAGAUGUGGUUUCUAAUCAAGUCACGAGGCACAGCAGCAUUCCAAUGGAACAGAAUUGGAAAUAUAGACUUUGAAAGAAUUGGAAAUACCCACUGGGAUAGAAAUGGAAACACCUAAAUUCUUGACUGUUGAUGUGCAUGAGAGACUUGGUUGGAAACCACCGUUUUGAAAGAUGUGGCAGUCAAUGUGUUUGAACACAAGCUGAGUACAAACACGUACUGGAUAAAGGUCAGCCAUAGUCUUUAACGAAUUAAGAAAAUUGUUCACUGAGCAUUCAGUUACUUGGCCACAAUAUCGCUCAGGUUGGGUAGAACUUGGCAUACGCUACGUCAAGUCUCUUUUUAAGAGUUCUACUAGUCCAUGCUUCGUUAGUUGUGCAUAAUUUAAUUAUUGUGUUCUGUUUCACAGCAUUAAAAUGUGUUUUUUAUCACUCUGUAGUCUUACCUCCGAACAAAACAAGUUCUCCUAUGGUGAGUUUGAUUGCCAAAAGCAAGAUUGUUACAGCUCACUAUGGAUGCCCGACAAAUCUUUCAAGAGUGAAGUUAGCAUAAAUGAUGGUUUAUUGAACAGACCCCAUUUAGUCAAAGUCAACAUGAUAUUUUUUAUAUUUUUUUGCAUGUGUUUAUGUCUUUCCCCUCGAUAAUAGGUUCAAUUCAAUUCAGGUGCAAAAAAACAUGUGUACACAGAUGCAAAUGCAAUUAUUGAACUGUGACAUAUAGGUCUCAUUUAGUUUGUGUUAAUCAGCAUCAGAAAUGAUUCC